rnacentral:RNase_P_RNA from 1 species
CGCCUGAGACAUGUAUACGCAUCUCGAGAAAUCGGGAUGAGGAAAGUCUGGACAUCAUCCGAAAGGAGAAGAGCUAACAGCUCUGAUUCGCUGAUAUAUCUAAAACAGUGUUUACGGAAAGUACCACAGAGACAAUAAUAACGCUUUGCGGAUGAAAUACUUAAAAAAAUAUGAUUUAUGUUACGUUAAGUAUUUGAUCUGCAAAGUGUGAAAGGUGAAAAGUCUACCUCAGGUAGAUCCAUCGUAAGAUGGGCGGUAAACCCUCUCUGAUGCAAAAGGAAUGGUACAUCUACUCAUAAUUGCUUUCGGACAAGUGAGUGGGUGUAUACCUUGCUCGAGCCAUGAGGUGACUCAUGGCCUAGAUAGAUGUAUACAGAAGUACAGAAUCCGGCUUAUUAUCUCAGGCGAGAG